AUACGGAGGAUGCAAGCGUUAUCCGGAUUUAUUGGGUUUAAAGGGUGCGCAGGCGGGCGAUUAAGUCAGCGGUGAAAGGCUCGGGCUCAACCGGAGCAGUGCCGUUGAUACUGGUUGUCUUGAAUGCGGUCAAGGCCGGCGGAAUGUGGCGUGUAGCGGUGAAAUGCAUAGAUAUGCCACAGAACACCGAUAGCGAAGGCAGCUGGCCGGGCCUGCAUUGACGCUGAGGCACGAAAGCGUGGGGAUCGAACAGGAUUAGAUACCCUGGUAGUCCACGCUGUAAACGAUGGACACUCGUUGUCGGCGACAGACAGUCGGCGGCCAAGCGAAAGUGAUAAGUGUCCCACCUGGGGAGUACGGUCGCAAGGCUGAAACUCAAAUGAAUUGACGGGG
rnacentral:rRNA from 1 species